rnacentral:lncRNA from 1 species
GCCUUUCCAAUGGGCAAACCACACACCAUAUAUAUAUGUUUCUUUGCACAUACAAGUUGAACCAUAGUGCCAAAAUUGGGCAUCCCCCACCACCAACAAUAGUGGCAAUUUCACAUGCAUUCGCAAUCGUAAUCAAGGAACUAUUUUUAGGAAUGAUCUUAUCCGAAAUUUGUACUUGUACUUUUUUGUUCUCUAAAACCAUAAAGAUAUUUAAAGAAACCUUCAUAAUAGGGAGCUAGCUAGGUACCAAUAUGGCAUGCCUAAACACUACAAUUUUCUUAGAUGCCAAGAAAAAAUAAUAAUCAAAUAAAAAAGGGGAAGAUUUUAUUUCAUUAUCUUCAGCUUUUACGAAG